rnacentral:rRNA from 1 species
UGAACGCUGGCGGCGUGCCUAAUACAUGCAAGUCGAGCGAACGGACGAGAAGCUUGCUUUUCUGAUGUUAGCGGCGGACGGGUGAGUAACACGUGGAUAACCUACCUAUAAGACUGGGAUAACUUCGGGAAACCGGAGCUAAUACCGGAUAAUAUUUUGAACCGCAUGGUUCAAAAGUGAAAGACGGUCUUGCUGUCACUUAUAGAUGGAUCCGCGCUGCAUUAGCUAGUUGGUAAGGUAACGGCUUGCCAAGGCAACGAUGCAUAGCCGACCUGAGAGGGUGAUCGGCCACACUGGAACUGAGACACGGUCCAGACUCCUACGGGAGGCAGCAGUAGGGAAUCUUCCGCAAUGGGCGAAAGCCUGACGGAGCAACGCCGCGUGAGUGAUGAAGGUCUUCGGAUCGUAAAACUCUGUUAUUAGGGAAGAACAUAUGUGUAAGUAACUGUGCACAUCUUGACGGUACCUAAUCAGAAAGCCACGGCUAACUACGUG